AAGCGAGGGAACCUAUCAACUCUUCUUUAACAAUACUCCCUCCAUAUGAAAAAUAAGUGUAAUCGACGCAUUUAUUUUGCACGGAGGAAGUGGUUGAGACAGAGAUAGUGAUAGAUAAAGACAGAGAUAGAGAUAUAGACUUUGUAAAGUCACAGUGCAACUCUAUCGAAUGAAAUGAAACUCUCUAAUUAGCGGCAAGGGAAAUUGAUACGCUCGUAGUUACUCGAGCGGGCAAGGACAAAGGAAGGGCAAAGGGAAAAAAAAAAAAGGGUACGGCAGGCUAACGUUAACCAGGCGGACAGCAUAUGGG
rnacentral:lncRNA from 1 species